rnacentral:rRNA from 1 species
AGCGAACGCUGGCGGCAGGCCUAACACAUGCAAGUCGAACGAAGUCUUCGGACUUAGUGGCGGACGGGUGAGUAACACGUGGGAACGUGCCUUUAGGUUCGGAAUAACUCAGGGAAACUUGUGCUAAUACCGAAUGUGCCCUUCGGGGGAAAGAUUUAUCGCCUUUAGAGCGGCCCGCGUCUGAUUAGCUAGUUGGUGAGGUAAAGGCUCACCAAGGCGACGAUCAGUAGCUGGUCUGAGAGGAUGAUCAGCCACAUUGGGACUGAGACACGGCCCAAACUCCUACGGGAGGCAGCAGUGGGGAAUCUUGCGCAAUGGGCGAAAGCCUGACGCAGCCAUGCCGCGUGAAUGAUGAAGGUCUUAGGAUUGUAGAAUUCUUUCACCGGGGACGAUAAUGACGGUACCCGGAGAAGAAGCCCCGGCUAACUUCGUGCCAGCCGCCGCCGUAAGAC